UAACUAGUUCCUUAUUUAAACAACUCAUUACAACCAGUAUUUCCUCAAAGAUAAAUCACCAAACAGACAAAGCACAAAUCAUUCGAACAAAACAAAUGAGUACAUUUGAUGUUACACCACACACAAACGUAUGUACACCCCUACAUGGCUACACAUGAAAGGACUCCCUGAUAACGAUGCAUAGACACAGAGGAGACCGACUAGCUGCCCUGCCAAACAGGCAGCAGUGAUAACAUGACAAAUGUCAUUGGCAGGCACGAACCACUCCGUCCACUCCUGCUGGCGAGGCACAAUCCUGCAUUCACACUCUCUGUUGAAGCCGGAGCGGUCAGAGUGACAGCCUGCUUCGUGUACGUCAACGGGCCAAGGCAGAUCAUUCCAUCGCAACACACAGAUAUCCUCUUAUGUUCUGCCUGACUACUGGAAACGCUGCAUGGAUAUUGUGAAAUAUCUCGUCAUCUGAUCUGGAUUUGGUUUUCCUGACCUGAGUUUCUCACUGCCAUCACCAAGAUGGGCUGUGUGGUGUUGGGUACAUUGCCUAAACAUAUGCAAACUCAUCCCGUCGCUCCGAUCUAAUGUCAGCCUGUUUACUUCAACUCUCUUGGAGCCACUCUGUUCUCUCCCUGCACAUUAUUAAAGUUCGGCAUAUAUGAACGAUG